GAUGAACGCUGGCGGCGUGCUUAACACAUGCAAGUCGAACGGAAAGGCCCUGCUUGCAGGGUACUCGUGUGGCGAACGGGUGAGUAACACGUGGGUGAACUGCCCUGCACUUCGGGAUAAGCCUGGGCAAGUGGGUCUAAUACCGGAUAGGAGCCAUUUUUAGCGUGAUGGUUGGAAAGUUUUUUCGGUGUAGGCUGAGCUGGCGGCCUAGCGGCUUGUUGGUGGGGUAAUGGCCUACCAAGGCGACGGCGGGUAGCCGGCCUGUGGGGGUGGACGGCCACACUGGCACCUAGAUGCGGCACAGGCUCGGACUGGUGGCAGAAGGGGGGAAGCUUGCACAAUCGGCGCCGGCUGCGUGAAGCGAGGCCUCGUGUGGUAUGACGGUCUUCGGGGUGUAGACUCCUUGCGCGAGGAACGAAGCUUUUAGUGACGGUACCUAGAGAAGAAGCACCGGCUAACUACGUG
rnacentral:rRNA from 1 species